CAAUGAUGUCGCAACAGUAGUGACAACAACCAAAACCUCAGCAAAAUGAGUAUCAAACCACCAGAUGGCAAUCAAACAACCGUUUUGACCACUAGAAAACCCUAGAGGUUGAAAACUCACCAGAAAAUCUCCGAAAAUUUCACAAUAAACGAUUGAACCGUUCAAUAGAGAAGGAACGGUUACAGAUCGUGAAGAUAGAGGCUCGAAGGAACCCUAACAGAACCAAAAAAAAUCAUCGAUCUUU
rnacentral:lncRNA from 1 species